rnacentral:hammerhead_ribozyme from 1 species
AUCCAGCUAACGAGUUCCAAAUGGGACGAAACGCGUGUACUGAAU